rfam:TPA: Bos taurus chromosome 10, whole genome shotgun sequence.
UCCCUGGUGGUCCAGUGGCUAAGACUCCGUGCUCCAAAUGCAGGCGACCCAGGUUCAAUCCCUGGCUAGGGAA